GUUACCAGAAUAACAAAAACUUCAGCCAAUUUUACAAUUUUAUUGAAAAACAAUUGAAAUAGUAUAAUUCAAGUAUUAAAAACGUAGGUAAACCGAUAAACAAUCAUGGUGGAAGCCGCAGCAUGCCAAUUGCAGUACGAGAACAAGGAGAACUAUGUAUAUUCUCUUGCUGCAAGCCGUCGUACGACUGGCUAUCUACAAGGCGGUGGGCACGCAAAUGAGUGACCACGCGGAAUGACACAAGCGUGUCAUGGUCACUGUGCGUUAGCCACCCUGGGAAGAUAUCACAGAUGGCAAGGAUGCCAUAAAUACACUGAAUUUGAUUACAGAAAUUUUUUCCAAUGAAAAGGCUUCCAGCAAAGGGAAUUCUCUGCGAGAAUUCGGUGGAAAUGCUUCUGGGCUACGAUUGGACUCUGUCAAGCAGCAGAAGCUGAACCUCAGGUCCAUGGCCAGGGUUAACGUAAGCGGAUUCGCGAAAAUAUACACGGCGACUCGGCAAUAUCAAAGAUUCUGAGGAUGCGUCAACUGUAGGAGCUCGAUGAGCUUGCCUUGACCUAUGUGCCUGUGCCUGUCAUAGAUCUGGCCAAGAUGGUAACUCAGACCAAUAGCAAGGAACCAUAUUUACAAUAAUUGUCGCACUGUAGUGUAGAUAUUGUAAAGCGAUGCGCAGAGAAGAAAAUCUAAACCCUUUUCGGCAUCAUGGAGCUGGAGAAUGAGAAUCGUACGCGUCUCUGGCAGGUCUCCGAUACACAGAUGGCCUAUGGGGCCCGCUUCGCCAACUAUGUGGUCCAUCUGGAGAGAGAAUGCCCUUCAAUGCAACCUUCUUCCAUCCGAAGAUCGAGAAAGGCAAGCAGGAUCCACUUAUCUUUGGGAUGCAAUCAGGACUACGAGUUCUCCAUCGAAGUGGCCGAUUCCCAAUCAGAGAGAGAGAACACAUCGGACUAGGUUAAGCCUAGGUUAAGCAGGCUAGGUUUAUCAUAAUAAAACUAUAAACAAAUUUUGUAUACAUGGAA